UACGUAGGGUGCAAACGUUGUUCGGAAUUACUGGGCGUAAAGGGCGCGUAGGCGGCCUGCUAAGUCGGAUGUGAAAUCCCUCGGCUCAACCGAGGAACUGCAUCCGAUACUGGCGGGCUUGAAUCCGGGAGAGGGAUGUGGAAUUCCAGGUGUAGCGGUGAAAUGCGUAGAUAUCUGGAGGAACACCGGUGGCGAAGGCGGCAUCCUGGACCGGUAUUGACGCUGAGGCGCGAAAGCUAGGGGAGCAAACGGG
rnacentral:rRNA from 1 species